rnacentral:rRNA from 1 species
AUUGAACGCUGGCGGCAGGCCUAACACAUGCAAGUCGAGCGGAUGAAGGGAGCUUGCUCCUGGAUUCAGCGGCGGACGGGUGAGUAAUGCCUAGGAAUCUGCCUGGUAGUGGGGGAUAACGUCCGGAAACGGGCGCUAAUACCGCAUACGUCCUGAGGGAGAAAGUGGGGGAUCUUCGGACCUCACGCUAUCAGAUGAGCCUAGGUCGGAUUAGCUAGUUGGUGGGGUAAGGGCCUACCCAGCCGUCGAUCCGUAACUGGUCUGAGAGGAUGAUCAGUCACACUGGAACUGAGACACGGUCCAGACUCCUACGGGAGGCAGCAGUGGGGAAUAUUGGACAAUGGGCGAAAGCCUGAUCCAGCCAUGCCGCGUGUGUGAAGAAGGUCUUCGGAUUGUAAAGCACUUUAAGUUGGGAGGAAGGGCAGUAAGUCAAUACCUUGCUGUUUUGACGUUACCAACAGAAUAAGCACCGGCUAACUUCGUG